UCAUUUAAUUUUACUGCAGGUGCAAACUCGUAGUGCUGAUGAACCAAUGACAACAUUUGUUGUAUGUAAUGAAUGUGGAAAUCGGUGGAAGUUCUGUUGAGUUUGGAAGAAUUGGCAAGGUAUCUGGACCAUUAAGAAAAAUUAAUUUUGUAAUUAGCUUUAAAAUUAAUUAAGCCAGGCAACUCGUUUUCCUGCAAGUGAAAUUUGUAAACAGUAUACAUCCCAUGGGUUGAUCUUUGCUGUUCACCUGACAGUCUUUCUUAAAUGCCUUCUGUGGUCUCAGAUCAGCUGGGAAACCAUACAAUAAUUAUAUAAUAUGUUGGUUUGUUUUUCUUUUUUAUAGGUUGAUGUUGCAUUUUAUUAAAUAUUAACUUUUUAUACUCUAGAACACAAAAAUUCUGUUGACCUGUUAAUGCAUAAAGAUAAAUUGUACCUAAAAAUGUUAAAGGAAGAGAAGGCAUAGUAUACAUUUUAGAGUUACCAAAUAGUAGUACUUGGCCAGCUUGUCAAAGUUGUGCGCACAAUUUGAACUAGCAUAUUAUUUACUCUUAAUUACUGUGCUCACAAACCCUCAUAUGCUUAGAUCUCUUGCAUCUGUGACUAACCACAGUGAGUGAUCAUUUCUUGUAUUUCUCAUACAUGUAUGUUACCAUUUUUUUUUAAUAGAUAUUACUUUGAAAACUGACUGGGUUGCCAUCAGUUUAGUUGACUUUGUGCUAUAUUUUAGUUUUACAGAAUUCUGUUAUAAUUUCCUAAGCUUUUCACAAAGCCCCUCACAGGUAUACUUCUGAUGCAUUUUCCCCCAUAGGAAGACAUGCUGUGAAGAAAAUGUUAGUAUCUUAGUAGAGUUCCUGGAGGCAGCAUGACUGUACUCGCACUUGGAAACCUACUGACCAAGGAUUAAGCCUGAGAACUGUGUAAAUCAUUAAGCUAUGCUUUUUGCGUAUGGAGGUUGUAAAAAAAAAAAAAUCCUUUAGACUGAAUCUUUUGUGCUGAAUUUUUACAUGAUGUCAAGCCAACUGAAAUGUAAGCUGUAACAAGUAGUUCUACAAAACAUUUUUCACAAUUAAGUUUUACUUUUAUUUAAAUGUGUCCCACUUAUUUUGCAAGUAAUAAGCAAUGGUUUUCACAUUGUCUUCUUGACAUAGAUGUUCUAAUGCAUAUAGUAAAGGCCACUGUUACAAAGCUUACAACUUAAGUGCUUCUGCCUGUGUUCAGACUUUUAUGUAAAGACCACUGCACAAGCUUUGCACUCUUCUAUGCUCUGCUUUGCAGAUUGUUUGACAUAACAUAAAAAAACACUUAAUAUAUCCAUGUUAAAAGGAUUGGUCUAUGGGUAAUUUCUGUCACUUUAAAAAUAAAGUACAUUUUCAAAGAAUUAAUUUAAAAGUAAUAAGGUUAAAAUAGUCCCAGUUUUAAGUGAUCCAUUUUAAAAUUUGUAAAUCAAUAAAUUUUUUUUUGUUGUUAAACAUA